AGAGUUUGAUCCUGGCUCAGGAUGAACGCUGGCGGCGUGCUUAACACAUGCAAGUCGAACGAACCCUCGGGUUAGUGGCGGACGGGUGAGUAACGCGUGAGAAUCUGCCCUCAGGAGGGGGAUAACGGUUGGAAACGACCGCUAAUACCCCAUAUGCCUAUUGGUGAAAUGAAUUUCGCCUGAGGAUGAGCUCGCGUCUGAUUAGCUAGUUGGUGAGGUAAUGGCUCACCAAGGCUUCGAUCAGUAGCUGGUCUGAGAGGAUGAUCAGCCACACUGGGACUGAGACACGGCCCAGACUCCUACGGGAGGCAGCAGUGGGGAAUUUUCCGCAAUGGGCGAAAGCCUGACGGAGCAACGCCGCGUGAGGGACGAAGGCCUCUGGGCUGUAAACCUCUUUUCUCAAGGAAGAAGAUAUGACGGUACUUGAGGAAUAAGCCACGGCUAAUUCCGUGCCAGCAGCCGCGGUAAUACGGGAGUGGCAAGCGUUAUCCGGAAUUAUUGGGCGUAAAGCGUCCGCAGGCGGCUUUUCAAGUCUGCUGUUAAAGCGUGGAGCUUAACUCCAUCAUGGCAGUGGAAACUGAAAGGCUUGAGUAUGGUAGGGGCAGAGGGAAUUCCCGGUGUAGCGGUGAAAUGCGUAGAUAUCGGGAAGAACACCAGUGGCGAAGGCGCUCUGCUGGGCCAUUACUGACGCUCAUGGACGAAAGCCAGGGGAGCGAAAGGGAUUAGAUACCCCUGUAGUCCUGGCCGUAAACGAUGAACACUAGGUGUCGGGGGAAUCGACCCCUUCGGUGUCGUAGCUAACGCGUUAAGUGUUCCGCCUGGGGAGUACGCACGCAAGUGUGAAACUCAAAGGAAUUGACGGGGCCCGCACAGCGGUGGAGUAUGUGGUUUAAUUCGAUGCACG
rnacentral:rRNA from 1 species